rnacentral:tRNA from 1 species
ACUGAAAUAGCUUAAGUUAAAGCAUAACUUUGAAGAGGUUAGGAUAAAUUAAUUUUUUUAGUA